GGGGUCCGGCGGGAGGCAGGCAGGAAGCAGCGAAGCCGGGAAGGGCGGGGGCUCGUGCUCAGGUGAAACUCUUCCUCCUGCUCGCGAGCCAAGAGGAGCAGGGAUGGGGUUGGAGGCUGGACGGCUGUCUGGAGGCAAUUUCUGGGUGGGGUUGCUUGGAGCUCGAGGGGCCUACCAGAACCCACUGACUACCCCACAGUGUUUCAGGUGCCAGAGGGGAGAGCGAGGAGACCCCACACGAGCACAGACAUCCUGAGGCAAUCUGAAGACCCUCAAGAAGACCCCAGUCUUGGGAAGAAAAAGUCAGAGAUCAUGAAGAAACCGUACACCUCAGAUUGGGACUUGAACCCAGCCUAAACCCAGACUGACACUUGAACCCAGGCAGCCGGGACUCCAACCGGCCAAAACCCACAGUCUUCCAACUGAGAUCACACACCC